GGCGAGCCGGCCAGGCCAGCCAGUGGCCAGCCAGCCUCAGCCGGAGGAAGUCAUGUUGUCUCUCGCUGGUGAGACGGGUGAAGGUGUCUGGAUGGGUCUCUCACUGUGGUCAACACAUCCGCUAUUCACUCGAGGAGAGCCAAAUGAUAGCCUAGAGAAACUGUAGAUCUAUAUCGCAUGCCUACAGGCUCGAGCCACAUGUAAGUUUACCAUCUGGCUCCAGGUCGGGCUCGGGGAGUAGAAGAACUCUCAAAACCCUCCCCAGGGUUAUCAUGGCAAAUCCGAUGACUUGAGCCACAACUGUACACAGGUUAUGGAACACAACCCAAGCGGUCAUAAUGACCCUCAUCGGAGGAUGUCGACAACACACGGCCCAACUGUGAAAGUGACUACCCAUGCCAAGGUGUUGCUACCAUUUCUCUCGCUCAAGGACGGACCGAAACGUCGUCGUUCCUUCAACUUCUAGUGUGUGGUCUGGUCAACAUACUUCAGCCACGUUAUUGUGACUCAUCACCUGCUUAUUGCGAUACACAAACAGAGGUGAUGUGAGAGGUACGAUGGAUGGCGGAAAGCGGUUCACCAGGCAUGGCCAGCAAGGGCAGUUCUCAGGAACAUAAGGCUUGUUUUGGUUGAAACAAGAAAGGUCUAGUCAUUGAAGGCAGUGAACUGUCUGUUGAUAGCCAGCGAGUUACUUGUUGGAAUGACGUAUCUUGGAGGUGGCCAAGUUGUGUUCGUAGAUGGAGUGAACAUCUGCCAGUCCACUGGAUUAAGGCUUGACUCUGUGGUAAUACUGUAGAGGACUGGCCUAUGAAUUGCUGGGCAAGUGGACUUGCUGGCAUGAGUACCUCAGAAGGGCACACGGGGAAAGAGCCCCGAGUGGUGUUAGGACGACGACUCGCCAUGAUAGAAGAACGCAGAGAUUUUUGUGGUGUCCUGUGUGAAGGCGACAUGUAAGGCGUUAUCUGUGGUACCCAUUCACUUCUGGGUGAACAGACAUACAGCUAAGGAUUGGCACCUAAUCAGUCCUCCCUGGCCCAGGAUACGAAACCAGGCCAAAUUGCUCAUGAAGCGCCGAGCGAGUAUUUACUACUGUGCCAUGAGGACUAUUAAUCUCAUUAACUAAUGGUAAAAUUAGAGGUGUAUAAAGUAGCAUGCACUGAUAUUAGUUAUUUACUGUUAUUUUUGCCUAACCUUUUAAUUCUGAUAUCUUGUCACAUAUGAAUUAUAUAGUAUUAUAAAUAAUGGCAAAAUUAUUAUUUUAUUCUUUUAUCAUUGCGAAUUUAUUUAUUACAAUACAGUAUAUACUGUGCAUACUUUAAUCUUUAUCUACUGCAAUAUAUUUCACUUUUAAAUAUUGUUAAAUAUUUGUUAACCUGCUUGAUUGGGUUCUGGGAGUUCAUCUACUCUCCAAGCCUGGCCUGAGGCCAGGCUUGACUUUGAGAGCUUGAUCCUACAGGCUGUUGCUUGGAGCGGCCCGCAGGCCCCAACAUCCACCACAGCCUGGUUCAUCCAGCACUUCUUGAAGAAAACUGUAGAUUUUUCUUUGUCCACAGUUUUUCCGGCAAUAUUUCUUACACUUGCUGGGAGUAUGUUGAACAACUGUGGGCCUUUGAUGUUUAUACAGUGUUUUCUGAUUUGCCUACGGCACCCCUUCUCUUCACUGGUUAUAUUCUAACCUAACUGGUCGUAUUUAAUAGGCUGGUAAGUAAUUUACAUACUGAAGUGGGCUCAAAUGCCCAUAGUAGUAACUGCAUGUGCAGAUACUAAUGGGGUUAGCGGCACAAAGAAAUUGUAUCCAAAUCUUUAAUAACGCCACCAACCUUGCUUAUUUUUUAAUGUAAUUUGCAGGUAUGGAGCUCUUGGGCUUGUACAUUUUUAAGACCUUGGCCCUCUUGGUGGGCCUGAGCUAUGUAGUGGUGGUGUAAUGGUAUCUGUGUGGUCCAGUAGCAUUACUCCACCUUACACUUCUGUGUUAUUUUAUAUCACUUUAAAGUUUGACACUCAUUUCCUUGUAUAAGCUGUGUGUCGUAUAGUAUUCACUUUAUGCUUUAGUUUAUUAAAUCACACAUGUCCUGACUUCCGGGACGAGCGUGUGUCUUGUUUUCCGACCAUCCCCCGUGGUCACUUGUCCCUCGAUAGUAUUCUUGGUGACUCGGAUACUUUUGAUAUCGUUCGCCAUAUGCGUUUCUGUUCUCGUAUUGGCAUCCUUGAUGAUAUUUAGCGCCCUCUGAUUAUCCCGCACAUUUGAUGGUACUACAUAGCCUUCCCGGUUUGGUGCCUUCUUUUGAUAAUUACUUACUCGUUAAAUCACAAAAAGGUUGACAGGGAUGUAAAACGGCUGUUGACACGAGGGGUGUACACUCAUUGUUUGUGUGUUGAUGACUUAUUGUGAUUGUCUGUGUGGCCCUCCUUGUAUGUUGGGGUUCAUAUAAACUUGCACUCAUUUAUAUAACUUUAAAGUGGUGUUUUUAUAGUUUAUUUAAUGUGAAAUGACACAAAGGUCCACGGGAAUGUAAAACGGUUGUUGAUGCAGCAUGUACACCCGUGGUGUGCCUUGAUAAUGGUUUUGUGACUGGCCUAGUAGCAGUCUGUAUACCAGUCAUAUCCACACAGUCAGGUAUAGUUGACCCACCUGGGGCCAGAUUCACGAAGCAGUUACACAAGUUCUUACGAACGUGUACAUUUUUCCCCAAUCUUUGACAGUUUUGGUUACAUUUAUUAAACAGUUUACAAGCAUGAAACUUACCGAUCAACUGCUGUUUUUAUGAACAGCCUCCUGGUGCUUCGGAGCUCAUUAAUUGUUUAAUAAUUGUAAACAAAGCUGACAAAGAUUGAGAAAUGUGCAGGUUCGUAAGUGCUUGCGUAACUGCUUCGUGAAUCUGGCCCCUGGUUUAAAGAUCGAUUAAUUAUCCCCAUUUACCAAACAUAUUUGGUUAAAUUGAGCUAUUGAUUGUACCUACUUUAGACUAUUACCAUAUGCUUGUAGCUAUUGGAAUUAAUUACAUAUCCUGGUAUAGAACCUAUUACAGAUGCCUCUCCUAGGUAGGUAAUCUCAAAAUGGUUGACUUUUGCUGAAUAAACAGUGUCAGCUGGGAGGGCUUGGCUUGGGUCUAAAAAUAGCCAGACAUGGACAAUGUGCUUUCUUGUUCUAUAAUAAGACCCUUGUAUGUCUUCUAUAUGCACUCUUUGGUAAAUAUUUUCUGUACUCCGGUCCCACCUCUCCACCAUUAAUCAAGUGGUGUAAAAGUUCCUGAGCUUAUUGGGCUCUAUCAUAUCCACAUUUGAACCUGUGUAUGGAGUCUGCCUUCACCACAUCACUGCCUAGUGCAUUCCAUUGAACUACUGACACUGAAAAAAUUAUUUUAAUGACUGUGGCUCAUUUGGGUACAAAGUUUCUACACGUCUUCCUUUGUCUGUCUUCCACGCUAAUUUUUUUUUUUUUUUAUCUAACCUGUCAAUUCCUCUUGAGAAUUUUGUAGGUGGUGAUCAUGUAUUUCCUAAUUCUUGUCUUCCAGGGACUUUACCACCUGUAGCCUUUCCAUGCAAUUCAUACAUCUCAACUCUGGGACUAGUUUGGUGUCAUACCUCUGAAUUUUCUCUUAAAUUUGUCGUGUUUGAUUAGGUAUGGAUUCCAGGCUGGAGCUGCAUACUUAAUGAUUGAUUUGACAUGUAUGGUAUAUAAGGUUCUCAAUGAUUCCUUCAAAGGCAUCUGAAAUCUAGUUCUUAUAUUGGUCACUUUAGCAUAUGCUGCUGCUGAUAUCCUUUUGAUGUGGGCUUCUGGGAACAGGUUUGGUGUUAGAAAUCUCAAGAUCUUUCUACCUUAUUCCAGAGGGAUUUCAUCUCCCAAAUGGCAUGUUAUGUUCAGCUUCCUGCUGCCUUCACCUAUUUUUAUUGCUUUACACUUUAAACUUUAGAAGCCAUAUGUUUGAUCAUUCCUUCAAAUUGUGUAGGUCAUCUUGUAGGGUCUUGCUUUCUUCCUCCAUCUUUAUCCUUUUCAUAAUUUUAGCAUCAUCAGCGCACACUAAGAUAGUCUAUACCCUCCAGAAGAACGUUUACAUGUACAAUAUCAGACCCAAGAUGGGUCCAAGUGCAGAAUCCCCUGUUGGACUCCGCUGAUGACAUCUCAUCACACUGAGGUCUAUCCUCUACCUUCCACAGUAACUCACUCUUUUCUGUUGCCUAGACAUUCUUGUAUACACUGGAGCAACUUACCUGUUAUUCCUGCAUUUCUCCAAUUUCUGUACCAGCCUCUUAUGGAGAACUGUAUCAAAGGCUUUCUGACAGUAAAUGCAGUCUGCCCACCUGUCUCUUUCUUGCCAAAUGUUUGUUGCCUUGUUGUCUAUUAAAUUUGUGUGGCUGUAUUUACCAUUCCAUAUCCCAUGCUGGUGGUAAAGUUUCUCUCUCUCGAUAUGUUCUACAAGCAUUUUCAUUCCGAUCUUCUCCAACUUGUGUGGUAUACAAGUUAGGAAAUGUUUAUUUACUAGACUAUGCUAUAACUUUUGGGUUUAUAUAAAUUGUGCUUAUAUUCUAGUGCUUACUGCAAUAUGAUGGGCAAGCUUAAAUGAUUAAUAGGUAAAGGAAAACAUUAAUUAUUUAGUGAAGUUAUUUACGAAUUAUGUAAAUACUGAAGCUGUCUUAAAGGGCAAUUUAGAUGAGGCAACAAAUGGAUCAGAUAGCCAGGUUGCUCCCAAACUUGAUUUAGUGGUGUGCAGGUUUUCUCCAGGGCAGGACGUGGGCAGCUCGUUGCUAUGACCACCCUAUAAUAUUCGUAUUUAAAUUGUUGCCGAGUAGUAAGAAGUACCCUUUAGUUAUGAUGGUGCUACAUAGCCUUCCCGGUUUGGUGCCUUCUUUUGAUAAUUACUUACUUAACCUUUAGUUAUUUUAUGCAGUAUAGGAAUUAAAUUAUUCACAUGUAAUUAGAAAACUAAAGUACCACCAACUAUAUUGAUUUUAUCUAGGUUAAACUAUUUUAUGCUGCUUGCUUUAGUAAUGUGUACCUUGUGCAGUCAUUCCUGUGUAUUGGAAAUGGAAAUCUUGCUAGAUUUGAUUAGGGUAAGCUGUAAUUACUCGUUGAACUGUGUAUAAUUGCUCCAAUAAUAAACCUUAAUUUUU